AUUGAACGCUGGCGGCAGGCCUAACACAUGCAAGUCGAGCGGUAACAGAGAGUAGCUUGCUACUCUGCUGACGAGCGGCGGACGGGUGAGUAAUGCUUGGGAAUGUACCUUAUGGUGGGGGACAACAGUUGGAAACGACUGCUAAUACCGCAUAAUGUCUUCGGACCAAAGCGGGGGACCUUCGGGCCUCGCGCCAUAAGAUCAGCCCAAGUGGGAUUAGCUAGUUGGUGAGGUAAUGGCUCACCAAGGCGACGAUCCCUAGCUGGUUUGAGAGGAUGAUCAGCCACACUGGGACUGAGACACGGCCCAGACUCCUACGGGAGGCAGCAGUGGGGAAUAUUGCACAAUGGGCGCAAGCCUGAUGCAGCCAUGCCGCGUGUGUGAAGAAGGCCUUCGGGUUGUAAAGCACUUUCAGUAAGGAGGAAAGGUUGGAUGUUAAUAGCA
rnacentral:rRNA from 1 species